rnacentral:rRNA from 1 species
AUGUCCCCUGCCAAGACCGACGCCUUCCUAGUCGCCAAGGACCCGUUGUUCCUCUGUGUCAAAGUGGAGAAAACCCUGGCCCCCGUCGUCGCGGGGCUCACUGACCUCUGUCUCUCGCGUUCUGAGAUCACAUGCCUUGUCUCGCUCCCCUGCGGUAGAUUCCGUUGUAGAUCCAUAGUCUCCAGAUUGCACUACUACCUUCCUGUCUUUGGGUCAUCUGAGAACCUCCUUCGCGCCCUCAAGGGGAAUUUUUAUCUUUUCUCGUCUGACCUCGACGGUGUGGUCAAGCCCAAGGUCAUGUUUCUGCGGGACUGCGGGCUAGGUGCUUGUGAUAUUGCCAAGCUAUGCAGCAAUCAACCAGGUCUACUCACCACCAAUCUAGAGCGCUGCCAGGGACCGGUGGCAUGUGCCAAAAAGAUAGGUGUGCCCCGUGGUUCUGGGAUGUUCAGGCACGCGUUGAAUGCUGUCGCAUCCCGCGGCGGGAAGAAGAUCGCGGCCAGAGUGGAGCACUUGAAGUGCACGUUCACGUGGUCGGAUGCUGAGCUGAGAAUUGAUGUUUCUAGGUUCCCAUUGAUGCUGACGAGGUCCAAAGAAUCACUGCAGCGUAGAUCUGAGUUCCUUAUCUCCGAGGUGGGCUUGGAAGCGGCUUACAUUGCUCAUCGACCCGUAAUGCUCGGUCUCAGUCUAGAGGGCCGGCUCAGGCCCCGCUACUAUGCUGUAAUGUUUCUCAAGGAAAAUGGAUUGCUCAAGCGCGACCGAGACUUCUUUAGUACAGUAGUGGUCAGCGAGAAGGUAUUUAUGGAAAGGUUCAUAUGCCCUCACAAGAAAGCUGCACCGCAUCUCGCUAAAGACUAUGCAACCGGUUGCAGAGGAGAAGUGUCUGCCAGAUUCAGUUUUACAUGA